rnacentral:rRNA from 1 species
UACAGAGGUCUCAAGCGUUGUUCGGAUUCAUUGGGCGUAAAGGGUGCGUAGGUGGCGCCGUAAGUCAGGUGUGAAAUUUCGGAGCUUAACUCCGAAACUGCAUUUGAUACUGCGGUGCUUGAGGACUGGAGAGGAGACUGGAAUUCACGGUGUAGCAGUGAAAUGCGCAGAUAUCAGGAGGAACACCGGUGGCGAAGGCGGGUCUCUGGGCCGAUACUGACGCUGAGGAGCGAAAGCGUGGGGAGCGAACAGG